GGGUUGUGAGGUUAAGCGACUAAGCGUACACGGUGGAUGCCCUGGCAGUCAGAGGCGAUGAAGGGCGUGCUAAUCUGCGAUAAGCGCCGGUAAGGUGAUAUGAACCGUUAUAACCGGCGAUACCCGAAUGGGGAAACCCAGUGUGACUCGUCACACUAUCAUUAACUGAAUCCAUAGGUUAAUGAGGCGAACCGGGGGAACUGAAACAUCUAAGUACCCCGAGGAAAAGAAAUCAACCGAGAUUCCCCCAGUAGCGGCGAGCGAACGGGGAGGAGCCCAGAGCCUGAAUCAGCAUGUGUGUUAGUGGAAGCGUCUGGAAAGGCGCGCGAUACAGGGUGACAGCCCCGUACACAAAAGCGCAUGUGCUGUGAGCUCGAUGAGUAGGGCGGGACACGUGGUAUCCUGUCUGAAUAUGGGGGGACCAUCCUCCAAGGCUAAAUACUCCUGACUGACCGAUAGUGAACCAGUACCGUGAGGGAAAGGCGAAAAGAACCCCGGCGAGGGGAGUGAAAAAGAACCUGAAACCGUGUACGUACAAGCAGUGGGAGCACCCUUUGGGUGUGACUGCGUACCUUUUGUAUAAUGGGUCAGCGACUUAUAUUCUGUAGCAAGGUUAACCGAAUAGGGGAGCCGGAGGGAAACCGAGUCUUAAUUGGGCGUUAAGUUGCAGGGUAUAGACCCGAAACCCGGUGAUCUAGCCAUGGGCAGGUUGAAGGUUGGGUAACACUAACUGGAGGACCGAACCGACUAAUGUUGAAAAAUUAGCGGAUGACCUGUGGCUGGGGGUGAAAGGCCAAUCAAACCGGGAGAUAGCUGGUUCUCCCCGAAAGCUAUUUAGGUAGCGCCUCGUGAAUUCAUCUCCGGGGGUAGAGCACUGUUUCGGCUAGGGGGCCAUCCCGGCUUACCAACCCGAUGCAAACUGCGAAUACCGGAGAAUGUUAUCACGGGAGACACACGGCGGGUGCUAACGUCCGUCGUGAAGAGGGAAACAACCCAGACCGCCAGCUAAGGUCCCAAAGUCAUGGUUAAGUGGGAAACGAUGUGGGAAGGCCCAGACAGCCAGGAUGUUGGCUUAGAAGCAGCCAUCAUUUAAAGAAAGCGUAAUAGCUCACUGGUCGAGUCGGCCUGCGCGGAAGAUGUAACGGGGCUAAACCAUGCACCGAAGCUGCGGCAGCGACACUGUGUGUUGUUGGGUA
rnacentral:rRNA from 3 species